rnacentral:lncRNA from 1 species
AUAAAAUGCCGAGCAACUCCAGGGGGAGUUAGAGGGUCUGAUAAUACCUUUCUCGAGGAGAUGGUUGAUUUCUGCUUUACAGAUUUCCAUCAUCUCGUGAUUCAUUUGGAUAGGUCUGGCUUUGGUAGGGAUGCUUUGUUCAUCGAAGCCAGGGAUAUAGGGAAGUUCGACGAGAUGUCUCUUGCGUUCCCAAAAAGCAUUGGGCAAUUCUGAGCAAAUCUCGUUUUCGAAUUUCGCAUGGAGAGAAGAGAUCUUACUCAUCAUCUCCGGGGUUUUUAAGGUGUGCUCAAUGCGUUUGAGCUGAACAUCAUUUCGUAAAAAAUGAAGAUGGGAAGAUAGACGAUUGAUUUUAAAAACAGUUUCGUCUUUGAUUCGUUGCUGCUCGUUGGAAGAGAAGUAAAGGAAAGAAUAAUUCGGUAUCUAAGAGAGUGGUACGAAUUCCAUCGUAGUUACUCUGAUAGGGCCGGAUUUGGUUGAUGAAGGGGAUUCCUAGAAUGAUAUCUUCAGUGAUAUCUUCCGUAAUAACAAAGUCAUUAACAAGGCAGACGCCAUUAUUGCAGACAUGAGCUUUGCGAAGUUGAUAAUUAAUUCGCAUUUUUUCGCCAGUGGCAGAAUAGAGGCGGGAGGUGCUCUUUUGGAGAUACCGAGUGGGUACGAGGCCUUUGACAAUACAGUUACUGUCAGCGCCGGUGUCAAAGAGAGCGACUUUGUUUAGCACGAAUUCAUUGUCAAUAACAAUAUUGACGACUAUGUGCUCGCUGUAAGAUUU